UACGUAGGGUGCGAGCGUUAAUCGGAAUUACUGGGCGUAAAGCGUGCGCAGGCGGCGCGUUAAGACAGGUGUGAAAGCCCCGAGCUUAACUUGGGGAAUUGCGCUUGUGACUGGCGUGCUGGAGUGUGGCAGAGGGAGGUGGAAUUCCACGUGUAGCAGUGAAAUGCGUAGAGAUGUGGAGGAACACCGAUGGCGAAGGCAGCCUCCUGGGCCAGCACUGACGCUCAUGCACGAAAGCGUGGGGAGCAACAGGAU
rnacentral:rRNA from 1 species